rnacentral:lncRNA from 1 species
UUUGAAGUCGAGUUUCCAUCCCUUCAAGAUGUUGUUAGAUUUUACUUUAAUUAAAUAGGAAGAUCUAAAGUUUUUUGUCGUAGUUGCGCCCCAAAAGGCUCUAUGAAAGAAAACUGAUACCAAAGAAGAUUUUUUGCAUACAAGAUGAAAGUGAAAGAUCUUAGGUGGAGAACUUUAUCUAAAAACAUUGAUUCUGGUGUGAAAGAGGACUUGCCUAAUCCUAUGGGUUCAAAUUCAAGCAAAAAGAAAAAGGCAAAAUCAAGAUCAAAAAUAAAAAAGAAGAAAAAGAAAAAUAAAAAUCAAAGUCAAAAUGCAAAUGAAAAAAAGAGAGACGGAAAAAAGGAAAAAGAAGGAGAGGCCAAGGCGAAAACCCG